ACAGCCCAAAUCCUUUACUCACCGAUCCCUCCCCCAAACCCUUCAUUUGCUCUACCUGAACUUCACCUUCUCCCCAAAGAAAACCCCAGCUGCCCAUCUCUCUAAACCUAGCGUCUCUCUCUCUCACUCAUCCAAAGGUUACGGUGACGGCCACGGUGCGAAGGAGAUUUGCGCAACAGUGGGUGGCGCGAUGGGCUGCUUCUACGGUGAGCCGUUUCUCUAGUGAUGGGGGACAGGUCACGAUGAAGACGAUGGCUCGAUGGUUGUCCUCGGCGUCUUCGUUGAGCCGCUCAUCUCUAUAUACUUCAAUGUCUUGUUAUUUGUCAGAUUUUUUUUUCACCUGCUCAUCUUAUUGCCAUGGGCUUAUGAGAAUCAUGGAAAUCUUAGAUUAUUAUGUUGUUCACGAAAUUGUAUUAUCCAAAUCUUUUGGGUUUAAGAAGAUUUUGCUGCAUAAUUUUAGUCAUUGGGCUUUUGCUUUUCUUUUAUUUAUAGAUUAUUGAGAUGUCCCCUCUCCGAAAUUGCUAUUAAUAGUUCUUCUUUUAACCUGAAAAAAUAAUUCAAAAUUAUUAAAUGUUUAUAUUAUAUAUCGUUAUUCAAACUUUAAUUAGCUAAAGGAUAAAAGAAGUCUCUACUUAGCACUUUAUAUUGGUGUUCCAAAGAUUCAUUACAUAACUCAGCUUUGUCGCUGAUGAAUCAAUAAUUACACACACAGAUAUAUGAAAUUUAUAAUAUUGUUAUUUUCUUUUUGCUUUACCAGUUUCAGAUAUUGUACUGAUAAACAUGUAAGUUUGAAUGUGGGUGAUAUUUUUGUACUUAUAUUCCUUAUUUCACUAGUUGGUAUAUAUGGCAUGAGUUUCCUUUGUUCUUAAGUUUCUGGUCAAACCAUGCUCAGAUAAAAUUAAUAAUAGAAAAUUGAAAUUAUCCUAGCCCUUUAGUGGUAUCUUAGGCCUGUUCUGGAUUAUGUUGACUAUUUUUGUUAACAUAACUUUUCUAGCCUGGACAAGAUUCAUAUCAUAAUUAUUGUUUGAAUGGUAGAAAUUUAAAUUUUCUAAUAUGUUUUAGCAUUGCAUUGCUUCUUGAGACCCUAUCGUUGCCCUAACAAUUUCUUUUUUAUUCGCCUGGGAGUUAGUUGGGGAAAGACCUUUUCAACAUUUGUAUGGUUGCUUAUAGGAUUUCAAAUCGAUCACCAAUUUGAUCUAAUUGUUAUUAGUGUUGCAAAUUUUUUGCUCUAGUAAUAUCAAUCAGAUUUUCUGUUUUUGUUUCCUUCCUAUUGAAUUUGAUCAAUGGUGUUUAUACUCUAAUUGAGAUUGUGCUUGUGUUUAUAACUGGGUUUGCUUUGUUAUUGUUAGACAAAGCUGGAAGGAAUUUAAAUCUUCUCAUUUAUUGUGCAUUUACUAAAAGGUUCUAAAUUCAACUUUUUUAGAUCUUUUAGUGGGAUUGAUCUUUCUUAAAUAAAGGAGCAUAUUUUCGGCCUUUAGUUUAGGGUUUCAACAGUUCUAAUGUACCAAUGAAACUACAUUAAUCAGUUCUAAUGAUUUUUUGGAACUGAUUUUAUGAUGUGAGGAUUUGAAUAAACAUGCCUUUAAGGUACUCAUAAAUAAUCUUUCUGAGAUUGAAUUUCACUUACAGGUGGUGCCAUGAUAUUGGUCGGGAGCAUGCUACAAAGAAACCUCUACUUAAAACAGCUUUCCAGGGAAGCUUAUGCAUGGGCUUCACUAUGAUCAGUGUGGCACAGCUUCUGCUACUACUUUAAAGCAUGUUGAGGUUGUGGUGCCUAUUCCGAUGAAGAAUGAGGUUUUGGUUAAUGUGGAAGCUUUGGCUCUGAAUCUAGUUGAUUGGAAAAUUCAGACAGGCAUGUUUCACCCCAUUUUCCCUCGCAAAUUCCCCCACGUUCCUGGUAUAUAUAUAUCUGAUGUAUAUUACAUACAUAGUGCAUGUCUUAUAUGUGUGUAUAUAUGUAUAUUAAUUUCUCGUUGUUUAUUGUAUAUUUGCCAAUGUGCUAUGAAUGAUUGGUAAUUUGGUUUAUUAAUGUUUAUGUGAUUUGAUAAGCUAACUAGCUUGAGUACUUUUAAAUCGAGACUGAUAGGUAUGUAUUCCUUAGUUUAAAGAACCAAGAGUAACUACUUAAGCCUUGAGAAAGUGGUGAUAUUCUUAGCACUAAAUGCUUAGAAUUUAAGACUUAAUUUUGAAUAGCUUAACUUUGUCCGAUCUUUUUUGUUUUUGUUUAAUGUUGCUAAUUUAUUUUAUUUUUCAAUAGAAAUGUAGAAAUUUUGGUCUUUUAUGUUUGAGGCUAUCCAGUUUGAUAAGAAAAAUACGACUUUUAUAUAAAUUAUUUUUGUGACCAAAAACCAACCAAGGCAACAAGAAAUUCUUCUUCAAGUUGUUGGGUAUUAUUUUCUUUCAUGCUUGUAAGAAUUAUGUACAGUGAGGUUUUUAUUUAUGUAUAUAGUUUUGUUGUGUUCUACCAUUGUAUGUAAUAGAUAGAUUAAUUUCAAUUGUAAAAGUUAGACUUUUUUUAAAAGGAAGAUAAUUAAAUUGUUAAUAUAAUUAGCUCCUUGUAAA